UACAACAGCCAUAGUUUAUUAGAUCAUACUCUACUUGGAUACCUGUGGUAACCUAAGAGCUAAUACAUGCAAUCAAGUCCUGACUUCGGGAAGGACGCAUUUAUUAGAACAAAACCAAUCGGGCCUAGCCCGUAACUUGGUGAAUCUGACUAACUAUGCCGAUCGCACAGUCCUCGAACUGGCGACGUAUCUUUCAAAUGUCUGGCUUAUCAACUUUCGACGGUAGUUUACACGUCUACCGUGGUAGUAACGGGUGACGGAGAAUAAGGGUUCGACUCCGGAGAGGGAGCCUGAAAAACGGCUACCACAUC
rnacentral:rRNA from 1 species